GUAGUCAUAUGCUUGUCUCAAAGAUUAAGCCAUGCAUGUCUAAGUAUAAGCAAUUAUACCGCGAAACUGCGAAUGGCUCAUUAUAUAAGUUAUCGUUUAUUUGAUAAUACUUUACUACUUGGAUAACCGUGGUAAUUCUAGAGCUAAUACAUGCUAAAAAUCCCGACUUCGGAAGGGUUGUAUUUAUUAGAUAAAAAACCAAUGCGGUCUCGGCCGGUUAUUUGGUGAUUCAUAAUAACUUUGCGAAUCGUAUGACUUUGCGUCGACGAUGAUUCAUUCAAAUUUCUGCCCUAUCAACUUUCGAUGGUAAGGUAUUGGCUUACCAUGGUUACAACGGGUAACGGGGAAUA
rnacentral:rRNA from 1 species